rnacentral:rRNA from 1 species
UGGGGAAUAUUGGACAAUGGGCGCAAGCCUGAUCCAGCCAUGCCGCGUGAGUGACGAAGGCCUUAGGGUUGUAAAGCUCUUUUGGCGGGGACGAUAAUGACGGUACCCGCAGAAUAAGCCCCGGCUAACUUCGUGCCAGCAGCCGCGGUAAUACGAAGGGGGCUAGCGUUGUUCGGAAUUACUGGGCGUAAAGCGCACGUAGGCGGAUGUGCCAGUCAGGGGUGAAAUCCCGAGGCUCAACCUCGGAACUGCCUCCGAUACAGCACGUCUCGAGUCCGGAAGAGGUGAGUGGAAUUCCUAGUGUAGAGGUGAAAUUCGUAGAUAUUAGGAGGAACACCCAUGGCGAAGGCAGCACUCUGGGCUGGUAUUGACGCUGAGGAGCGAAGGCAUGGGUAGCAAACAGGAUUAGAUACCCGCGUAGUCCCUGAGCGGGCUGGCAAGGCGCAU